rnacentral:rRNA from 1 species
CCUACGGGAGGCAGCAGUGGGGAAUAUUGCACAAUGGGGGAAACCCUGAUGCAGCGACGCCGCGUGAGUGAAGAAGUAAUUCGUUAUGUACAGCUCUAUCAGCAGGGAAGAAAAUGACGGUACCUGAGUAAGAAGCCCCGGCUACCUACGUGCCAGCAGCCGCGGUAAUACGUAGGGGGCAAGCGUGCUCCGGAUUUACUGGGUGUAACGGGAGCGUAGACGGCAGUACAAGUCUGGAGUGAAAGGCGGGGGCUCAACCCCCGGACUGCUCUGGAAACUGUACGGCUGGAGUGCAGGAGAGGUAAGUGGAAUUCCUAGUGUAGCGGUGAAAUGCGUAGAUAUUAGGAGGAACACCAGUGGCGAAGGCGGCUUACUGGACUGUAACUGACGUUGAGGCUCGAAAGCGUGGGGAGCAAACAGGAGUAGAUACCCGAGUAGUC